UAUACAGGUUGCCUCUGUCUAUGAGUGCCCCUGUCCAUGGUGCCGAUCAGUGGGCUCUGUCAGUUCAGCACCAUGGACAGGGGCAGCCAGAGACAGGCUCAGCCACAACAUGGAGUCAGCAAUCAUCUGCGUGCAGGGAAUGUCAGAGACAGCCAACGGAAAGAGAUAGAGACCGCCUAGACAACCCAAUGCAGAGCACUCUAGGAGAGGCUAAAACCUCCUAGGACACAGAAGACAGCAUAGACAACCAUAGAUCAAGAGACAACCUGGCCACAGGCAAUCCAAAGAAAAAAAAGAAAAAAAAAAAACAACACUGCCAAAGCAUAAUCCCACAGAUGUUAUGUUCUAACAGGGCACAACCCUGGCAGCAAGACAUGCAAAAUCCAGAGAGACAUGGCCAUCCUGAGCAAUAACAGACAAGUUAGCCUCGAAAAAAAGAGGCAUAAAAAGGCAACCUGGCAGUGCAUAGAGCCUAAGAAGAGACUAGAAGGUGGGCACUGCGGUGUGUGCCACAGAGCUGCACCUACCUUCAUCUGGGCUCUCUCUGCGCCAUGCCAUCCAACCUGGUGCCAGCGCCGGCCACCCCUCCAGCAUCAGCAGCAGCAGCAGCGCCCCUCCAGCCUUAGGAAAGCAGCUGGCACGGAGGGGGCAUUCAAAGGGCAAAAGCGGCUCCAUCCAUAGCUCCAGCGCCCGGCUCCCUGAUUCCAUUCAGUUGCAUCCUGCUGCCCCCCCAACCGCACCCCACGCUGCCUCGCAGCUCCCCGAGAGGCAGGAGAUGGGCGCACAUCCGACCCCCGGGAGGAGUCCUGUGCCGGAGCCAACCUCGUCCAAUCCUCCGAUCGACUAUUUGGAGUGCUGGCAUCUGUCCUCCGUGGUGAUGAGGAUGCUGCUCAUUGGCUAAUAGAAGAGUGCUUCAGCAGGGUCCUGAAGAUUCCGAUGGCAGCGUGAGGGGUGGCAACAAGACUGCCUCACAGCAAGAAGAGACUGUAGAGCUGGAUCAUCAAUGUAGAGGAGUAUCAAGUGAAUAAAAAUGGUCCUAAAAAGUU